rnacentral:rRNA from 1 species
UUUAUUGGAGAGUUUGAUCCUGGCUCAGGAUGAACGCUGGCGGCGUGCCUAAUACAUGCAAGUCGAGCGAAUGGAUUAAGAGCUUGCUCUUAUGAAGUUAGCGGCGGACGGGUGAGUAACACGUGGGUAACCUGCCCAUAAGACUGGGAUAACUCCGGGAAACCGGGGCUAAUACCGGAUAACAUUUUGAACCGCAUGGUUCGAAAUUGAAAGGCGGCUUCGGCUGUCACUU